AUUGAACGCUGGCGGCAUGCCUUACACAUGCAAGUCGAACGGUAACAGGUUAAGCUGACGAGUGGCGAACGGGUGAGUAAUGUAUCGGAACGUGCCCAGUCGUGGGGGAUAACUGCUCGAAAGAGCAGCUAAUACCGCAUACGACCUGAGGGUGAAAGCGGGGGAUCGCAAGACCUCGCGCGAUUGGAGUGGCCGAUAUCAGAUUAGGUAGUUGGUGAGGUAAAGGCUCACCAAGCCGACGAUCUGUAGCUGGUCUGAGAGGACGACCAGCCACACUGGGACUGAGACACGGCCCAGACUCCUACGGGAGGCAGCAGUGGGGAAUUUUGGACAAUGGGCGCAAGCCUGAUCCAGCCAUGCCGCGUGCGGGAAGAAGGCCUUCGGGUUGUAAACCGCUUUUGUCAGGGAAAAAAAGGUUCUGGCUAAUACCUGGGACUCAUGACGGUACCUGAAGAAUAAGCACCGGCUAACUACGUG
rnacentral:rRNA from 1 species